AUUGAACGCUGGCGGCAGGCUUAACACAUGCAAGUCGAGCGGGGUGAUGGUGCUUGCACUAUCACUUAGCGGCGGACGGGUGAGUAAUGCUUAGGAAUCUGCCUAUUAGUGGGGGACAACGUCUCGAAAGGGAUGCUAAUACCGCAUACGUCCUACGGGAGAAAGCAGGGGAUCACUUGUGACCUUGCGCUAAUAGAUGAGCCUAAGUCGGAUUAGCUAGUUGGGGGGGUAAAGGCCUACCAAGGCGACGAUCUGUAGCGGGUCUGAGAGGAUGAUCCGCCACACUGGGACUGAGACACGGCCCAGACUCCUUCGGGAGGCAGCAGUGGGGAAUAUUGGACAAUGGGGGGAACCCUGAUCCAGCCAUGCCGCGUGUGUGAAGAAGGCCUUAUGGUUGUAAAGCACUUUAAGCGAGGAGGAGGCUCUUUUGGUUAAUACCCAAGAUGAGUGGACGUUACUCGCAGAAUAAGCACCGGCUAACUCUGUGCCAGCAGCCGCCGUAA
rnacentral:rRNA from 1 species